rnacentral:rRNA from 1 species
UUGCGGUUAAAAAGCUCGUAGUUGGAUUUCUGUCAGAGACGGCCGGUCCGCACUAGUUGCGUGUAUCUGGUUCGGCUAGGGCAUCCUCUUGGGGAUCGUUUCUGUGCUUCAUUGCAUGGGGCGGAAUUCAAGACUUUUACUUUGAGGAAAUUAGAGUGUUCACGGCAAGCAAUCGCUUUGAAUACAUUAGCAUGGAAUAAUAAUAUAGGGCGUAAGUUCUAUUUUGUUGGUUUCUAGGACAUACGCAAUGAUUAAUAGGGACAAUUGGGGGCAUUCGUAUUAACGCGUCAGGGGUGGAAUUCUUAGAUUGCGUUACGACGAACUACUGCGAAAGCAUUUGCCAAGGAUGUUUUCAUUGAUCAAGAACGAAAGUAUGGGGAUCGAAGACGAUUAGAUACCGUCGUAGUCUAUACCAUAAACUAUGCCAAUUAGAGAUUGGAGGUCGUUCGUUUUAUGGCACCUUCAGCACCUUAUGAGAAAUCAAAAUUUUUGGGUUCCGGGGGGAGUAUGGUCGCAAGGCUGAAACUUAAAGGAAUUGACGGAAAGGCACCACCAGGAGUGGAGCCUGCGGCUAAAUUUGACUCAACACGGGAAAACUUACCAGGUCCAGACAUAGUAAGGAUUGACAGAUUGAUAGCUCUU